rnacentral:rRNA from 1 species
CCCUUAGAUGUUCUGGGCCGCACGCGCGCUACACUGACGGAGUCAACGAGUUGUCCUGCAUCGGAAGGUGUGGGUAAUCUUUUGAAACUUCGUCGUGCUGGGGAUAGAUCUUUGCAAUCUUCGAUCUUGAACGAGGAAUUCCUAGUAAGCGUGAUUCAUCAGAUCGCGUUGAUUACGUCCCUGCCCUUUGUACACACCGCCCGUCGCUACUACCGAUUGAAUGGUUCAGUGAGGCCUCGGGACUGGCGCGCUCGAGUAGCAAUACACCUGCGCGCCGGGAACUUGGUCAAACUUGAUCAUUUAGAGGAAGUAAAANUCGUAACA